rnacentral:rRNA from 1 species
CAGUCGCCACGGUAAUACGUAGGUGGCAAGCGUUGUCCGGAAUUAUUGGGCGUAAAGCGCGCGCAGGCGGAUCAGUCAGUCUGUCUUAAAAGUUCGGGGCUUAACCCCGUGAGGGGAUGGAAACUGCUGAUCUAGAGUAUCGGAGAGGAAAGUGGAAUUCCUAGUGUAGCGGUGAAAUGCGUAGAGAUGUGGAGGAACACCAGUGGCGAAGGCGACUCUCUGGUCUGUAACUGACGCUGAGGAGCGAAAGCGUGGGGAGCGAACAGGAUUAGAUACCCCAGUAGUCCCUGUCUCUUAUACA